GUUAUAAAAGGGCUGUUAAUACCCCCAAAAUAAGGGGGUUGUUGGAGGGCUGGGGGAGGGGGUUUCAUAUCGUAAUUCACUCCCACUGCCUGCGUUUGCUUGCUGAGGAAGUCUGAUACGAUGUUGUGAACAAGGCUGGGGAGAUUGUAAAAGGCAGCCUACAUCGAGGCAGGGCUACGUCGGCCAGUAAAAGGCUCCUUUGUGCAAAGCCUUGACUGGGAAGGGCUGGCGCGGCCAUGCCCAGCUGAUCAGCCAGAUGUGCAGGUGGCGGAAAGAUCACGCUGUCAUUAAAGGCACAUCCCCUCCUUUUGUGCCGGUGCCAGGAAGAGAGAGACAGACAGACACUCCUAGGGGCUGGGGGAGCUCACUGGCGCUCCAGAUGAAGCCGAUCGCUCGCCAAGGUGUCGCUAUCAGUCCCAUCUUCCAAGGGGAAAGGGGCUGAUCCGUUGUCCCGGCCCCCCCUCCCCCGACAGCGCCGACGGACUCGCUGUGCCAUUCUUGCUGCCAUUUUUCCCAGCUGGCAAGCACCAGGGAUGAAGACCCGGGGAUGUUUGUGACAACUGCGGGCUUAACGAAGCCCUCUCGGGGCCCGGGGAAGGGAGAGCUCGGCAGGUGUGUGCUUCCCUCUUUGCAGUGACAGUUUCUCCGGUUAUCAGAGAACUACAUGCAAGCCCAGGCUGCGGUCCUAAUUUGCAAAGUAUCCCGUCCUCCAGGAGAACAUGAUGCAGCGUUGACUCCAGCGAUCGGCGCCGCACCCUAAGGGUUAAAUAUGAUGUAAGUACAAAAAUAUUUAGAAGUCGAUUUAUUAUGUACUUAUUGCUGAUACUUUGCCUUCAUUACAGUGGCAAAAGAAAUAGUGGGGAAUAUGACGACUUGUUUUGCAAAUUGAAACCCCAGGUUUCAGACCCCGCUAUUCUUCCUUCACAUGCCAAUAUAAUAAGCAGACCAAGAGGAUAUUUGUGUUGUGCUUCUGCAACUGAGAUUAUAGCAGUAGGGGAACAGUUAAGGCAUGACGCAUACCUUUUGGAAAAUAAACCACAGGUUGUUUAAAAUGCAGUAAUGCUUCUUGCAUGUGUUUGACUUUUUCCCCAGUUACACGCUCAUUAAAUUUCUCUUUUUUGUUGGGUCACUGCUUGUUUUGCCAUUUGUUUUCCUUUUUGGGGGAAAAGAAAGCGAGAAGGAAAGGUCCGAGGCUUUAAAAAAAUCUUGACUUAUUUUCCUUUUUUACAUUUUCAACUCACUACUAUGAUCCUCGUUUAGAUGAUCUUUGGUGGGUUAUAAAAUUAAAUGUACACCUCAAAAAUCCAGAGACAAAUUUGAUAUUGUUUAUAAAAACUGUGUACGGAAUUCAAAUAAUUAAUAAUUAACUUUUACUAUGAAAUACAGCGCACACUAACGAUGACCUUUCUAUGCAAAUAGCUCUGCUAAUUUUAAUAUCCUGACACUUGAGACUCUGAACUAUUCUCGUAACAACAUUGUCUUCUGCUCAAGGAUUAUACAUUUUUAUAAUAACAAAUAUGCAAAUUUUAGGCAUCUGAAUCUCAGGCUUGACAAAUUUUACAAUUAAACAAUAAAAUGUACUUUCUCCUUUGAAUGAACAUAGUUACAUUUCAUAACCCAAAAAUUCGGAGUAACUCAAGUGCGCCCUCUAUUUGCCAAAGAACAGAACUGACGAACUCAGCAAAAGAAUUGGAACAAUUAAAAGUCAGCAGCAGGCAAAGAUGCCACCGACUUCAGUGAGAAUAUCGCCUCAGGAGGGAUUUCAGGAUCUGAUUUUAGCCUGGUUACUAAUUUAGGAAAACCCGAUAUUAAAGCGGUAACUCUAGAAAGUCAACACAAGCAAAAAAACCAAGUCACUUUGAGUUUUUUUGGCACAGAACUCCGAAGAACUAGUCUUUCAUGUUUCUUUAAUGGGUCACCAAAUGGGAGAAGUUAAGGAUGGAGUGAAAGAUCUAUUUUCGAAAUUCUUGAUUUUUAUCAAUUUAAAUCACGUUUUGUUUUUGUUUUUUUUUAACUAAAAAGAAAAUUGGGUUAGACACCUGAUACCACAAUUGCCCCCAAGGCAAUGGUUAAAGUCCAGCUUUGUACAGAAUACAUCAUUCCUAUGUGGUGUCACUAUGAUGAUAUUGUGGAUACAACCUAAAAGGCUUGAAUCAUGCCCAAGGGAGAAUCAGCUCUUUGUCACUGGCACAACUACAGGAUACAGUGAUGAGAAAAGACACUGUCAACAUGGUUAGUUUAAUAUAUAAUUAGGUUCUCUUGAUAACUUUUCCAUGUGCAUUUGCUAGGAAUUACAAAGACAGUCAUAGGUAACUUAACAGGGUAGUUUGUACAGAUAAAGCAUUUCUG